UGAUCCAGCCAUGCCGCGUGUGUGAAGAAGGCCUUUUGGUUGUAAAGCACUUUAAGCAGUGAAGAAGACUCCAUGGUUAAUACCCAUGGACGAUGACAUUAGCUGCAGAAUAAGCACCGGCUAACUCUGUGCCAGCAGCCGCGGUAAUACAGAGGGUGCAAGCGUUAAUCGGAAUUACUGGGCGUAAAGGGAGCGUAGGUGGCUCUAUAAGUCAGAUGUGAAAUCCCCGGGCUUAACCUGGGAACUGCAUCUGAAACUGUAGAGCUAGAGUAUGUGAGAGGAAGGUAGAAUUCCAGGUGUAGCGGUGAAAUGCGUAGAGAUCUGGAGGAAUACCGAUGGCGAAGGCAGCCUUCUGGCAUAAUACUGACACUGAGGCUCGAAAGCGUGGGUAGCAAACAGGAUUAGAUACCCUGGUAGUCCACGCCGUAAACGAUGUCUACUAGUCGUUGGGUCCCUUGAGGACUUAGUGACGCAGCUAACGCAAUAAGUAGACCGCCUGGGGAGUACGGCCGCAAGGUUAAAACUCAAAUGAAUUGACGGGGGCCCGCACAAGCGGUGGAGCAUGUGGUUUAAUUCGAUGCAACGCGAAGAACCUUACCUGGUCUUGACAUAUCUAGAAUCCUGCAGAGAUGCGGGAGUGCCUUCGGGAAUUAGAAUACAGGUGC
rnacentral:rRNA from 1 species